UACGUAGGGUGCAAGCGUUGUCCGGAAUUAUUGGGCGUAAAGGGCUCGUAGGCGGUCCAUCGCGUCGGGAGUGAAAAGCUGGGGCUUAACCCCAGUCCUGCUUCCGAUACGGGUGGACUAGAGGUAGGUAGGGGAGAACGGAAUCCUGGUGUAGCGGUGAAAUGCGCAGAUAUCAGGAGGAACACCGGUGGCGAAGGCGGGUCUA
rnacentral:rRNA from 1 species